GGUGGGUGUGCGCACAUGCAUUUUUGUGUUUGUGUGUGCGUGUGGCAUUACAGCCAGCAGAUGGCAGAGAAUAGCUCACUGUUAUUUGUAGUGAUGAGGAAUAUUCCCAUAUGUGUUUUUAUCCACGGCCCUGGUCUGUCAUGUAGCAAUGAUUUCCUGUACUGGGCAUAACACGCUUUUAUUGAGAUGAUGACAUUGUUGAUAGAGGAAAUAGGACAUUGAACUCAACUAAUAAGGUAAGAUUAGAUAGUACCUUAUCCAUCCCCUCAAGAUUAAUUUUUGAUUGCACAAGCCAAUACAUACUACAACAACAAUAAUUAGACAAUAACAACAAAGGAUAUGGAGACAGCAAAAGUAGCACAUCAUUAAUUCAUGUAAAAGACGAGUGUCUACCUUUGGACACCAGUUCCAAAUAAAACAAAACUCUUCAUUCCGUUUGGCAAAUGAUAGGGUUAUUUCAGGCUUUGGACUCCCAACUCAAUCAAUUUGGUUCGUGCCUGUCAUUUUAUGUAUACCCCUUCAAAUGACGUGUUACCUCACUUUAUUGUGUUCUUGCUGUGUUCUCCUCCUGAAGAGGGACCCUUGGCUCGGUACUGGCAACUCCCCCACACCUCAUCUCUUCCCUGUCAUGGCCAGACACACCCUGACCAAUGGCUCCUCUCCUUGUCUCCCACGGUCCCCGUCUUCUGACACUGACACAGACAAUCUCCUGGACUACCCCCCCCCAGGUCCAAGCCAGCAAUGUUUCCUGGCUAACAAAGGGGGGUCUCCCACCCCUACACCCACACCCAUCCCUUCCAUGCUUUGGCGCGCCUACAUGGAAAGCUUGAGCCAUAUAGGUUACGCCCAAGUUCCCAGGGCAGGUGGGAGGAGGUCCAUCACCGCGUCUGAGGAAUCCCUAUCACCCCAAGAGCAGUGCACAGACUCUCCCACAUGAGUAACACACACACCACUAUCAUCUGCAGUGGGUGGAUAGGAAUCCAUAACAGUAAUCACAACUGCAAUUGACCCCAAAUGUACUUUGAAAAGAUUGUAACUUCAAUUGACCCAGUUACAUUCUCAACAGCUGAAACCUUUCGAGGCUACUUUUUCUUCUGUCAGCUUCAUUGAGCUUGCCUGGCGCAAUGGAACCAAUAGCAUAGUUGUAAACUGGCAAACCCCUGCCCAUCUGGCACGCCGGGCAGGCUAGAACAAACGCUAAACGUAUAGCCUAGUAUUUGAACCCAGGUCUGCAGUCAUGCCUGAUCCCUGCACUUUGUUUGAAAGCCAAUGUUUUGACAAUGUCAUUAUGUCUGAUCACAUCACACACAUUUUAUUAAAAGUAUUAGCAAUUAGCCACCGUGGAGUUUGGUAUGGACAGGAGGAUACACCAGAUAGAAAUGCAGAAUUGAUGAUGGGUGGACCUUGAACUCCAGCAGAAAGACAGAAAUCCCCCUUCACCCUUUCCUUUUCUCUCCUCUUUCCCUUUAUCUGUCUCUGUCUCUUCUUUCUCUCUGGCUGCUGUGUGAUGUCAUAGAUCUGUUUUUGUACAAAGAUUGACAAUGACAAAGGUGUUAGCAAGAUUGACAAUGACAUAGGUGUUGGCAAGAUUGACAAUGACAAAGGUGUUAGCAAGAUUGACAAUGACAUAGGUGUUAGCAAGAUUGACAAUGACAUAGGUGUUGGCAAGAUUGACAAUGACAAAGGUGUUAGCAAGAUUGACAAUGACAUAGGUGUUGGCAAGAUUGACAAUGACAUCGGUGUUGGCAAGAUUGACAAUGACAUCGGUGUUGGCAAGAUUGACAAUGACAAGUGUUGGCAAGAUAGCACAAACAGAUAUGGGAUUAAGCUAGUGAUGUGAACUCGGUGCUGAUGUGUUGGUGACCACUGCCGAUCGACCGGGUUGGCGACCAAUGCAUUAUGAUAUAUGUAAUGUAUUGUCAUAAACAGUAACAUUUUAAUGAUACCAUUCUCCUACAGUAGGAACUCACUUGGUGAAGUCCACAGGACUGAACAUGAACAAAUUCAGCAACCAUGUCUCUGUCACUAAUAAAUACAGUCAUGGGUGGAA